rnacentral:rRNA from 1 species
UACGGGGGGGGGUAAGCGUUGUUCGGAAUUACUGGGCGUAAAGGGCUCGUAGGCGGCCAACUAAGUCAUACGUGAAAUCCCUCAGCUUAACUGGGGAACUGCGUGUGAUACUGGAUGGCUUGGAUUUGGGAGAGGGAUGCGGAAUUCCUGGUGUAGCGGUGAAAUGCGCAGAUAUCAGGAGGAACACCGGUGGCGAAGGCGGUUCUCUGGGCAUUACCUGACGCUGAGGAGCGAAAGUGUGGGGAGCGAACAGG